GAACUCAGUUAGCGUAGCGACAUCUUCCGUCAGAUUGCUUGAAGUACCAUUUUUUGUGCAUAGAAACUAUGGCCAUCUACAUUUUUUGGCUAUAAAAAUCAGUAGCACCUGUCUUUUUUGAAGUCUACUUUUUGACGUUUUGGAAGAAAAGAAUUCUUUCAGAAAAAAAGUAUUUUAAAAUGUUUGUGCAAAACAAAAUAUCGGGGUAAAAUAAUUGAAUCGUGUUGGAAAAAGAUGCAAUCGUGGAAUCGUGUUGGAUGGAAGGAGGGCCAAAUGCUCCCGCAAACUAAAUACAUGCCUCCAUUCAUAUCAAUAAAAAGUCUAGUAAGUGCCACGAUUCAUCAACAACAGCAUCCGAAACAGCAUUAUCACACCAAAAUCAACAAUAACAGCUUAAGCACCAAUUACAACAGCUGAAUCCCGAUAUGAUCCGCCAGUCCAUUUUUUUUUUAAUCCCGGCUGCAGAAAUCAAUGCGAGGACGAGCUUAAGAUGCCAAUUUAUAACAUGGAACCAAUCGACAAAAUAAGCCUAUCCUCAAACGAGACAAAUGCCCGAACAGCCAGGACAACAAAUGUCUGGAACGGGAUAUAACGCAAAAUUAAGUUCAUAUGGAAUACUUCCAACAUCUUGGUCAUACUGGCCAACGUGUGGAUAAAUGCAAAAGACCUGCAUA